CUAUGUUUCUAAUGAUAUGACUAAUGCCUAGAAGUGCCCAUAAUGUUGUCAUUCAAUAAGGCUUCCAAGUUUAAUUUGUAUAAUAGAUCGUCAAAAGUGUAAAGCUGACUAUUUGUACAUUUGCAUCGUGUUUCUGUGUCAGACAGACUGGCGGUGUUGUGCGAGUACACCCUCCAGUUUGGAAAAUAAAAUGGCAAGUCUUUCCGGUGGCUUCUGGAGAAUGGUUUGGGAUAGACCUUGUACCUCCAUCAAGCAGGUUGAACAGGAGGGGAAGACUAGGCAGUUCAACCCAGUGGGUGACAAAAAGGACAUCCUUCCUCCAGUACAAAAAGGACAUCCUUCCACCAGUACUUGAGGAGCUUUCAAGAGAUUGAGGACCUUCCGAAGUACAAGUCACUAAGACCAGCUACACCUGUUGUGACCUCAGAGGAUGAGAACUUUGUUGGUUUUGGGAAACAGUCCAAAAACACCUUGAGGGGAAAUUUGGAACACCAGGGCUGAUGGGUAUGCUAGCUUUAUCCUUAGUCAGAAGUGUGUGUCAAGCACACAUGCACUAACUACAGCAGUCCCUGUUGAAGAAGAAAAGCCAGAAAACAACUGCCUCUGUUCCACCUCCAACAUCAUCUGUUGGAAGCCCCAACCCCAACAGCCACCUCGACCCUCGCCUAUGAUCUUCCAGUAAUGGAUGAGGAUUUGGAAAAGGAGAUGCUGGGUUUGUCCUCAUCUAAAUUCCAGACCUAGCUGAGUACACCAGCAGCAGCCGUUGGAGCCCCAGCUUACCCUAGAUCUUACAUUACAGAAUGUGAGGCCCCCUGUCCCGAGCAGAGCAGGGUACAGUGCUGCCUCAAGCUCUGUAACACCCUGCUUCUCCAGCACACCCUGCAGCCACUCUCCCACCGCCACCACCCGCGCAGCCUGCAGCCUGUCUCCCUCCGCCACCACCACCCGCACAGUCUGCAGCCGCUCUCCCUUUGAUCCCCAGCUAUGACCAAGAUGUCAGAUGCUGCAACUGCUCUCACCAUCAGAGGAUUUGGAUGAAGACUGAGCUGUAGGCCAUGGGGCUGUGGCCAGGGUCCCAACCAGUGCAGCACCUCAUGGACAUGGUCUCAUUGUGGCAUUAUCCACCUCAGCCCGAACUCAUAGAGACCUCCUCUGAGCUACCGUAACAAAUACUUCCAGCUCAAUUCCUCCUUCAUUUGUAAACCGGAGCAUGCCAUUAUGGAGAGUUUGGGGAACAAUUAUGUCCUGCCUUGCCUCCACGGUUGUCCCAACCCCCAGGUGGUCUCUUCUGGAGUAGGAAGGCAUAGGGUGAUUAUUGGCACCACUGGCCAGUACUAUGUUGUAGCCUUCCAUCUUAGCUGCAAGGUAGGCAAAAUGUACUGGUUUGCUGACAAACCCCAGUGGCUGGACAAGCUACCAGGGCGUUUCAGCAACAUCUUGCCAGCUUUCCUCGGUCUUCUUAUGGUUAUCUGCAAGACGGUGAUGGAUGAGCUGAGACGUUCCGGCAAGUCAUCCAAUGACAUGGCCAACCAGGUGACAGAGACACAGCACCUGAAAUAUGAGGGUGCCCACCUGGCCUACCUGCUCAGUGUGCAGAACAUCAGGGAUGCUGAGGCGGGGCUUUAUGGACAGAGGACCAUCACAGGGCUCCUGAGACGGGAGGACUCAUCUGCUCCGAUUGGAGGCUAUGAAGAUGCAGACAGAUGGCUGGUGUGGAGUGUCUGUGUCUUCACACUACCUGACUGACUGCCUCCUACAAGAGUGCCAACAGCAAGAGCCAGCCCUCAUUCAGCUCUACAUGGCACCUUCGGACAGGUAUUCAGGUCUGACCACACCCACAAAGUGGCCAGGAAGGUGACAUUGUCAUCUGGCACCAUGUCAUCCUAUGUGGUGAUGAAUGAGAACUGGAUGAUCCUCUCCUGGGUUAUGCUGCAGUCGGAGAGUGAGCAGUCCCUGGAGGCUACGUAAGAGGGCCAAUCGCUACAGCGCUGCUGGCAUUGAGAAGGCCAAGUACCAGUGGGUGGACACAGGGCAGCUCAUUAGGCAGAAUUAGGCGGCCGCCUAUUAGGCACUGACAUGUUUAACAAACAUAUCCUAAAAAUAGGAAUGGUCAAAGUACAAUGGACAAUCAGACUACUCACAACUGCUGUCCAGGAGUUUCAUCCCGUGGGCUAAAUUGUCAUGAUCAGUGGUUUCAAGCCUUUUGGAUGUCUUUUUUUGGUGCAGUCCGGACCAGCCUUGAUUUCCACGGACGUUGUUUUUUGGUCUGCUGCGGACCAAAUCUGAACCAAUCAUAGACGUCUAUGUUUGGUUAAGAUUUUGUCCCUUCUGGCCUAGCCUUGAUUUGGCCCAAACAUUGCCGUCUAUUAAUUACAUCAUUCAGGACCUUAAACAAACCUGAUUUCAACGACUGGGAAAUACGUAUUUUCAACAUCUGGGAAAUGCGUAUUUUCAACAUCUGGGAAAUACAUAUUUUCAACAUCUGGGAAAUACGUAUUUUGAACUUUCAUUCAGAACCGAAAAUGAACGUGAGUUCAACACCCGGAAAGCCCCUGGGGUGGACAGGUAUGAAUCCUUCAUCACAUUAAUCACAACUAGUUUUAAGUACAUAUUUCACAGCUAUAAGAAAAUACAAAUAAUUAUUUGCAUCUGAAAUGAAAAUGACACUUCUAUUAUAUCAACAACAACAAAAAAUUCUGUAUGUGUAAAUAGGGACUGCUGUGCUGCAUUCUGAGUCCCGGACUCCCAGCCUCAUGAGCAUCUCCUGUGGGCUGCCUGAACGACCACAGAGGCUAUAAGUGGCAGAGGUCACAUCUGUGCCUCACGGAGCAAGUUCAACAAGGACAUCAAUGUAAAACUGGACUUGUUCCACUGCAUGCAGUGGUUCACCAGAGAGUGUGUCUCGGAACACCAUCCAUGCAAGUUCCUGUCCACAGCCUUCACUGUGGCAGGCCAGGCUGACCUGGAUAAUCUGAAGGUCUAUGCCUUCUAUGGGAUUGUCCCUGCUAACCCCACCAAGCAGCACAUCUGGGAGCACUGCAGGACAAAGGUUUCCACACCCAAGAGAGCUAGUGAAAAGAGUGGAAUAUGUUCAACAACACUUCCACCUAGCCAAGAGCCCCAACGAUGUCCUGCUCUUCAAGACGUCAAUGCUGAAGGUAUGGUGAAUCCAGUGUGCACACAUUCUGAGAGGCUGCCUGAGUAACCCAGAGGUGGAGGAGGGGAUCCUCUUCAGUUACGGUGGAACCCUGCAAAUCAAUCACGUUAAGGGUGAGGGGGGAAAUGUGCCCACAUGGUUCCCUGUCAGGGGAGUCUCUCAGCAGGAGGGCUACAGGUAACCGCGUUUCCACCGAGGCUGGUGGACCCGAAGCAACCUGAAGUGGUCCUACCUGCUGUGGUCCUACCUGCUGUUUUUUUUACCUGUUUCUGAUGGUGGAGCUGAACAUGGCCUCUGUGAAGGUGUGGCCCAAGUAUCCAGCAGGGACACAGGGGAGAGGUUUGGACUAUAAUACAUGAAGCCAGGCUGUCGCCCUGUUCCCAUUCGACUGUGACAAGUACAAGGUGCAGAAGACGGACCCGACUCUUGUGGCUGUAGAGCCAGACCAUCCUCCAGCACUGUCCUGCGUGGAUUCCUCUGCCCUAGCUGUGGUGUUCAGUGGCCCUGCAACCCCUGCUCCUUCUGCAGUGGCCAUGGAGGGAGACAUCUUCCAGGUAAUCCAGAAUGAUUUCACUCACUCACAUAGUUUUGCUCCAUGAUUAUUUUUCCUAGGUAAUUGGGCCUCCUAUUUAGGGAAGGACGGAUAACCAUGACCUUCUGGCUCUGGCUGCUCUAGUCUCUGCUGAUACUGAUCCAGCCCCACCAGCGCAGGCCCAACCCUCACAGGCUGUCCUGUUCCGCUCCCCUUUGGCACUAGUUCCUGCCACAACAAAAGAGGAAGGUUUUGAAGAGUUCCUGCUGGAUACAGAUCUGCCAGCCACACCACCGCUGCCCCUGACAGCUUCUCCCCGUUAAGCCUGAACUGGGCCCAUCAAGACAGGAGGUCUUUGUCUUUGACCACGGCCGAUGUAGAGAGCCCAUGAGAGCUGCCAUUAAUGGGCUGCUGGCCAAGCAACAUGGGGCGAAAGACAUCCUGAAGCAGGUGGAUGAGGAUUAUCCUGGCAUGGUGCAGAGUACAUGCACUGACCAAAACAGCCUCCUGCAUCCUACCAUAAAGCAACAUAUCUCCAGGUAUGUGAAACAUCUGGCCAAGCGCAAGAACACCAGCUCAGUUCAUAGCACCAGCCCAGAGAAGCUCCUGGAGACACCGCAGCUGUGGCAGCAUCUUACUGCAGAGAGCGAAAUGGACAGUAGACAGUGUCCCAGUACCCUUGCCACCUGCUCCAGUAAACCCCCUAGCAGUGGGUCCUCCCCAGGAUGCCCCUGUGACCCAGGGUGCAGUCAAGAAGAUGGUGAACGAAAUCUUGGAUAAGCAGCAGCAGCAAAAAAAACAACAACAAAAACGAGGAACUGUCUAGCGUGUGGCCAGCCAAGGUCCUGCUACCUCGGUGAUAGCGCCUUCGUUUAUUUUAUCAGACUGGAGAGGUGAAGUACUUCUACUGCUCUAAAGAAUUCUCCCAGACUUACGCAGCAGAAGGCCUUACCAAUUCAAGAAUGCCGUUUGAGGAGUUUGUUGCUAGUACCUUCUUUCAACGGGAGCUGGAGGCCUCAAGCAGAGUGGGCAGUGAGGGAGGAGAAACCCUCUGUCCGUCUGUGCAGGUUCUGCCAACAGCCGCUGAAGCAGGGCCCCAAUCGUCCUCGCAUCCACACUGGCUUCCCUGGAGUGGUAGGAACCUGCCCUGCCAAAGUGUUUUCCCUGUACCAGGCACAGGGCAUGAUGAGAGAGAGAGAGAUGACCUGGAGGGAGUUCCAACAGUCUGCCUUUUAUGAGACUAAAAAGCAGAGAUGAUAAAUUGGAGCUGAUACUCUAUUUCCAUUGAUGGAAGUGGUUUUUACUGUAUAUAUUAUUGCUUAUUUUGUGUAAAUGCUGUACAAAGACCUCCAUUUUAUUCUAAUUGAUGAUGUAAAUAUAUCCUAAAUUAUAAACCAAUUGCUAGUGUGUGUAAAAGUUUGUUGUUGACAUGGUUGCAUUUGCCAUUGUAAUGCACAUCCUCUCCUAUAUGGACAAUAUCCAGAAAACAGUAUUUUUUUUACUUUGAGGUUUACUUUAAACCAAAGGCAUAUUUAUGACCGUGUUGAAAAACAAUCCUUUGUACAAAUAAAACGCAAUGCAUUUACAUUCA